rnacentral:sRNA from 1 species
AUGUCAGGCCUGAGGCCCAGCACUCAAGUGGACCCUGAGAUUGAGCUUUUUGUAAAGAUGUGCCUUUCCCCUUCUUCCAUGAUUAUGAGGCCUUCCCAGCCACGUGGACCUGCUGGAAGUGACGGAGAGAGUAUUGGAAACUGUCCCUUUUGCCAACGCCUUUUCAUGAUCCUCUGGCUUAAAGGAGUUAAAUUUAAUGUGACAACUGUUGACAUGACCAGAAAGCCUGAAGAACUGAAGGACUUAGCCCCAGGUACCAAUCCUCCGUUCCUGGUGUAUAACAAGGAGUUGAAAACAGACUUCAUUAAAAUUGAGGAGUUUCUAGAACAAACCCUGGCUCCUCCAAGGUACCCUCACCUGAGUCCCAAGUACAAGGAGUCUUUUGAUGUGGGCUGUAACCUCUUUGCCAAGUUUUCUGCAUACAUUAAGAAUACACAAAAGGAGGCAAAUAAGAAUUUUGAAAAAUCUCUGCUCAAAGAAUUCAAGCGUCUGGAUGACUAUUUAAACACCCCACUU